rnacentral:rRNA from 1 species
UUACGGGUAGAUCUCCCACCCAUUGUUUAUUAUACCUUUGUUGCUUUGGCAGACCCGGCUUCGGCCCACCGGCUCCGGCUGGUCAGUGUCUGCCAGAGGACCUAAAACUCUGUUUGUUAAUAUUGUCUGAGUACUAUAUAAUAGUUAAAACUUUCAACAACGGAUCUCUUGGUUCUGGCAUCGACGAAGAACGCAGCGAAAUGCGAUAAGUAAUGUGAAUUGCAGAAUUCAGUGAAUCAUCGAAUCUUUGAACGCACAUUGCGCCCCUUGGUAUUCCGGGGGGCAUGCCUGUUCGAGCGUCAUUAUAACCCUCAAGCCUAGCUUGGUGUUGGAGCCUGCCUCUGGGCAGCUCUUAAAAUCAGUGGCGGUGCCGUCUGGCUCUAAGCGUAGUAACUUUUCUCGCUACAGAGUCCCGGCGGUUGCUUGCCAACAACCCCAAAUUUUCUAUGGUUGACCUCGGAUCAGGUAGGGAUACCCGCUGAACUUAAGCAUAUCAAUAAGCGGAGGAA